UUGACCUCGGAUCAGGCAGGGAUACCCGCUGAACUUAAGCAUAUCAAUAAGCGGAGGAAAAGAAACCAACAGGGAUUGCCUCAGUAACGGCGAGUGAAGCGGCAACAGCUCAAAUUUGAAAUCUGGCUCUUUUAGGGUCCGAGUUGUAAUUUGUAGAGGAUGCUUCGGCGUGGGCUCCGGUCUAAGUUCCUUGGAACAGGACGUCAUAGAGGGUGAGAAUCCCGUAUGUGAUCGGUUGCCUUUGCCAUGUGAAGCUCCUUCGACGAGUCGAGUUGUGUGGGAAUGCAGCUCUAAAUGGGAGGUAAAUUUCUUCUAAAGCUAAAUACUGGCCAGAGACCGAUAGCGCACAAGUAGAGUGAUCGAAAGAUGAAAAGCACUUUGGAAAGAGAGUCAAAAGUACGUGAAAUUGUUGAACGAACGCUAA
rnacentral:rRNA from 1 species